rnacentral:rRNA from 1 species
UACGUAGGGGCCGAGCGUUGUCCGGAGUUAUUGGGCGUAAAGCGCGCGCAGGCGGCUUCGCGCGUCCGACGUGAAAGCCCCCGGCUUAACCGGGGAGGGUCGUUGGGUACGGCGGAGCUUGAGGGCGGGAGAGGGUGGUGGAAUUCCUGGUGUAGCGGUGAAAUGCGUAGAUAUCUGGAGGAACACCGGUGGCGAAGGCGGCAUCCUGGACCGGCAUUGACGCUGAGGCGCGAAAGCCAGGGGAGCAAACGGG